AGGGUGUCACCGGGGGUCCCUGCAGGGUCCAGCGUACACCUCGCUACCACUCUGCUCUCCCUCCUGUUCGAGCAGUUUGCGUGGGCGCUAGGUCAAGUCGGAGCCGGGGAAGGGACGUGCUGGAGAUGGCGGUGGUACCAUCCCUGGUGGUGUGCCUUUGCUCCAGCCCCUCUGCAGGUUGGGCCAUGGCCAGCAGCGUUGCCACCUGCUCCGGAUCUCACCAAGAGUGGAGCCGGCCACAGUGCUUAGCGCACAUUCUUCCUCAUUGUACACCUUUCUCACCUUGUCUCCCGGACUCCCAGGGCUCCUAUUCAUCCUUCAGAGCCCUGCCUGGCAUCUGCUGCCCAGAAGUGAGCCUUCACCACAUGAAGCUACUUUGGCUUUUUAAAAAAUUUUAUUUUUUAAAAAAGAUUUACUUAUA
ensembl:lncRNA